rnacentral:rRNA from 1 species
GACGAACGCUGGCGGCGCGCCUAACACAUGCAAGUCGAACGAGCGAGCGAGAGCUUGCUUUCUCAAGCGAGUGGCGAACGGGUGAGUAACGCGUGAGGAACCUGCCUCAAAGAGGGGGACAACAGUUGGAAACGACUGCUAAUACCGCAUAAGCCCACGACCCGGCAUCGGGUAGAGGGAAAAGGAGCAAUCGGCUUUGAGAUGGCCUCGCGUCCGAUUAGCUAGUUGGUGAGGUAACGGCCCAGCAAGGCGACGAUCGGUAGCCGGACUGAGAGGUUGAACGGCCACAUUGGGACUGAGACACGGCCCAGACUCCUACGGGAGGCAGCAGUGGAGAGUAUUGCGCGAUGGGGGAAAAUCUGAUGCAGCGACGCCGCGUAGAAGAAGAAGGUCUUCGGAUUGUAAACUCCUGUUGUUGGAAAAGAUAAUGACGGUACUCAACAAGGAAGUGACGGCUAACUACGUG